rnacentral:rRNA from 1 species
AUUGAACGCUGGCGGCAGGCCUAACACAUGCAAGUCGAGCGGAGCGGCGGACGGGUGAGUAAUGCCUAGGAAUCUGCCUGGUAGUGGGGGAUAACGUCCGGAAACGGGCGCUAAUACCGCAUACUAUCAGAUGAGCCUCGGUCGGAUUAGCUAGUUGGUUGGGUAAAGGCCUACCAAGGCGACGAUCCGUAACUGGUCUGUGAGGAUGAUCAGUCACACUGGAACUGAGACACGGUCCAGACUCCUACGGGAGGCAGCAGAGGGGACUAUUGGACAAGUGGGGAAAGCCUGAGCCAGCCAGGCCGCGUGUGUGAAGAAGUUCUUCGGAGUGUAAAGCACUUUUAGUUGGGAGGCGUUACCAACAGAAUAAGCACCGGCUAACUUCGUGCCAGCAGCCGCGGUAAUUC